GCUGGAGUAGCUCAGUUGGAUAGAGUGUGGCUGUUAAGCACAAGGCCGAGGGUUCAAGCCUUUCCUCUAGAG
rnacentral:tRNA from 1 species